CUACGGGUGGCUGCAGUGGGGAAUAUUGCACAAUGGGCGCAAGCCUGAUGCAGCCAUGCCGCGUGUAUGAAGAAGGCCUUCGGGUUGUAAAGUACUUUCAGCGGGGAGGAAGGGAGUAAAGUUAAUACCUUUGCUCAUUGACGUUACCCGCAGAAGAAGCACCGGCUAACUCCGUGCCGGCAGCCGCGGUAAUACGGAGGGUGCAAGCGUUAAUCGGAAUUACUGGGCGUAAAGCGCACGCAGGCGGUUUGUUAAGUCAGAUGUGAAAUCCCCGGGCUCAACCUGGGAACUGCAUCUGAUACUGGCAAGCUAGAGUCUCGUAGAGGGGGGUAGAAUUCCAGGUGUAGCGGUGAAAUGCGUAGAGAUCUGGAGGAAUACCGGUGGCGAAGGCGGCCCCCUGGACGAAGACUGACGCUCAGGUGCGAAAGCGUGGGGAGCAAACAGGAUUAGAUACCCCCGUAGUC
rnacentral:rRNA from 1 species